rnacentral:misc_RNA from 1 species
UGCCAAUGUAAAGCCGGCAAAGGCUUCAGGCAAACCAUAACUUGCUUCUAUUUACAUAAUCGUUGAGACUUCCGAUGCCCAUCCUUCCAUCUUCAACAGGAUCUUGAGGCAAAAUUCACAUUCACCAAUUAUUUUCCUGUUCUUCAAUUCUCCAUUUCUUUGUCCAACAACACCUCAAAUAGAAGCAGCAAGCCGCAGCUUCCAACUGACCGCAAUGGGGCUCUCAACAACAUGCACUUGAUCACUCCACUUAAUCGCCCCAAAGCUAUGAGUCUCCUUUGCCGCCGUCGACUCAAACGUGAUCUCGUAAGCCAAGCUCUGCCCUUUGGCCUCAAACACCAACUUACUUGGCUCCACCGUCACACUUACCCCUGCCGGUGCUGACACUGUCGCCUCAUACACCGCUCCCGCAGCUCCCCCAACAUUCCUCACAACCCUCUUAUACUUCACAACCUCCUUUUCCUCAUAGAAAACCACAGAGAAAGCCGGAUAGUUCAAAUCCCCGCUCCUUGCCAAAGUCACCGCCGAACAAUUGACAGCGAUAUCACCUCUGGUGAACACCGCAAUCUCCCUCGGCCCAUACCCGGUUCUGCAAAGGAAGCCAAUAUAGUCAUUCAACUGCAAAUCAUACACUAGACCCGGAUCCAGCGCACCGUUCGGGUCGACAUGGCCAGCACCACGGACAAACGGAGUCGACUCCUUGCCAGUGGCCAAAUCUCCAAUCACCUCAAGUGAGUUAUCCACAUUAUAUGCCGUAGUCAUGAGUGCUGAUUUAAUCGCAGCCGGGCUCCACUCUCGAUGAGCCUUCCGCAGAAGGGCGGCAAUGCCGCUAACGUGCGGGCAGGACAUGGAUGUGCCAGAUAUGAUGUUGAAGGGCACCCGCCGAGGGUCGCUCUCGAGGUCAGUAGGACCAAUAGCGCCGGUCCAGCCUGCAAGAAUGUUGACACCAGGGGCGAUUACAUCCGGUUUGAGGAUCUCUGGGGCACGGUAAUUUGGUCCUCUGCUGGAGAAGGAGGCCACCUUCGGGGACGACGGUGAUAACCCGAUGACAGUGCCACGGAACAAGAUGUUGCCGGUAGGAGCAGUGGCGGAUUUUAUAUAAUUCCGUAUUUUAUCUCCAGCGUUCUCCCCAACCAUCGUAGCCGGGAUGAGAUGGCAAUCUGCUAACAACUCUUCUCCGCUCUCAGCGGUGUUAGCCAUGAUCAUGCCGACACCGCCCGCCAGCUUCACAGCGCUGCCUUUCUCUACGCGAGCAUUACCGCCGCGGUCACAGACGACAAUCUUCCCAGCAACCUUCGCCUCGUCGAGGGAGCCGAGCAGGCAGAGGCGAGACCCGCAAUCGCCAGCGUACACAAGAGGGUAUAAAUCAGCAGAAUCGAGCGGAUCGCCGUAAUAGAGUGACACACCACCGUGGACGGAGCCGUCACCGAGAAUGACAUCAGCCGGGAAUUCACGGUCGACAGUGGAGGCACCGACCGUGAGGAUCCACGGGGCGAUGUUGACG